rnacentral:tRNA from 1 species
UUUACAGAAGAGAUUACUCGCAGAGCUUUGAAUUCUGAGUAGGGAUUAUAAUCCCCUGUGAAA